rnacentral:rRNA from 1 species
UACGUAGGUGGCAAGCGUUGUCCGGAUUUACUGGGCGUAAAGGGCGUGCAGGCGGUCUGUUAAGUUCAGGGUGAAAGCUCCCGGCUCAACUGGGAGAGGUCCUUGGAUACUGGCAGACUUGAGGAGGGUAGAGGAGAGUGGAAUUCCCGGUGUAGUGGUGAUAUGCGUAGAUAUCGGGAGGAACACCAGUGGCGAAGGCGGCUCUCUGGGCCCUACCUGACGCUGAGACGCGAAAGCGUGGGGAGCGAACCGG